rnacentral:rRNA from 1 species
AAACCAACUGGGAUUACCUUAGUAACGGCGAGUGAAGCGGUAAAAGCUCAAAUUUGAAAUCUGGUACUUUCAGUGCCCGAGUUGUAAUUUGUAGAAUUUGUCUUUGAUUAGGUCCUUGUCUAUGUUCCUUGGAACAGGACGUCAUAGAGGGUGAGAAUCCCGUUUGGCGAGGAUACCUUUUCUCUGUAAGACUUUUUCGAAGAGUCGAGUUGUUUGGGAAUGCAGCUCAAAGUGGGUGGUAAAUUCCAUCUAAAGCUAAAUAUUGGCGAGAGACCGAUAGCGAACAAGUACAGUGAUGGAAAGAUGAAAAGAACUUUGAAAAGAGAGUGAAAAAGUACGUGAAAUUGUUGAAAGGGAAGGGCAUUUGAUCAGACAUGGUGUUUUUGCAUGCACUCGCCUCUCGUGGGCUUGGGCCUCUCAAAAAUUUCACUGGGCCAACAUCAAUUCUGGCAGCAGGAUAAAUCAUUAAGAAUGUAGCUACUUCGGUAGUGUUAUAGCUUUUCGGAAUACUGUUAGCCGGGUA